GAUGAACGCUGGCGGCGUGCCUAAUACAUGCAAGUCGAGCGAACAGACGAGGAGCUUGCUCCUCUGACGUUAGCGGCGGACGGGUGAGUAACACGUGGAUAACCUACCUAUAAGACUGGGAUAACUUCGGGAAACCGGAGCUAAUACCGGAUAAUAUAUUGAACCGCAUGGUUCAAUAGUGAAAGACGGUUUUGCUGUCACUUAUAGAUGGAUCCGCGCCGCAUUAGCUAGUUGGUAAGGUAACGGCUUACCAAGGCAACGAUGCGUAGCCGACCUGAGAGGGUGAUCGGCAACACUGGAACUGAGACACGGUCCAGACUCCGACGGAAGGCAGCAGUAGGGAAUCUUCCGCAAUGGGCGAAAGCCUGACGGAGCAACGCCGCGUGAGUGAUGAAGGUCUUCGGAUCGUAAAACUCUGUUAUUAGGGAAGAACAAAUGUGUAAGUAACUAUGCACGUCUUGACGGUACCUAAUCAGAAAGACACGGCUAACUACGUG
rnacentral:rRNA from 1 species